GAGAAACGGCGCAGCGUCAGCACAGAAGAGCUGGAGAACCAUCACCGUGACGGACACGAAGAAGAAUUGCUGUGGAAGUAGUCUGGGAAGAUACCAUUGCAAAACAGAGACAUCUUCUUGAGCCCCUUCUUUUCUUCUUGCCAUGGGCAACUACGCAUUUACUGCAGAUGUCGAAGAUUUCAAGUCCAUCGUGUCGACUCUAGAGAACCAGCGCAUUCUGAGCGAACACAGCAGACUGCAGAACAUGCUCUCUCUGAAUCAUGUCAGCUGCUGAGGAAGAAACAGGACAGCAGAUGAUUGAAGUGACUCAGGAACCAGACCUGCUGGCCCUCAAGUUUCUGUACAGUAACACAGAUGCACACA